ensembl:lncRNA
AGACAUCUUAAACAGCUGCAAUAUCAGGCUUGGCCACUGAGCACUGGUGGAUUACAAAACAAGUAUGCAAUGCUCCUGGGGACCUGCUUGUGCAGAGCGAACUCAAAUUGCCGGCAGAAUGGGCGGGGCUACCCAGUCUACGCAGAUCGAGGAGUGGCCAUGGACCAAGCCCCAUAGACCUAUUAAAGAACGAAGCGGCUAGGUCAAUGGCAUGAACCUAUAAAGAAAGGGAGUGGCUCAACGUGGGUGGAGCUAAAUGUUUGGCUUUGCACCGGAAGACGAAGAAUGUGCGUCCGACUCCAAGGCCAUAGUAUUGUGUGCUUUUCUGCUUAGAGAGUAUGUCUGUGAGAAAUAAAGAAGCUACUUUGAUAGACCUUGUGUUGUGUGUGCGUUUGACACGUGUCCCGCAGCCGUACCGCCCGCUACAUGGAGCACCACAUACUGGGCCGGAAGCCUCUCAUGCUCUCCACGGUCAAGCCCAGGCUGAUUUACUCCCUCUUCCUGAGGCCAUCCCUUAUGAGGGAAAUGUGAGACACAUCAGUAUACUCUCGGAUGGUGAUACACCAACCAUUAAUAAAUGCACCAACCGUGAACUUUUCCACUGUCCCUUCUGCAAAUAUGUGGGUGCAAUAUAUAUGGUUGACAACCAUAUAAAAGGCCAUUCUUCAGUAAAACAUAAAGGGUUCACAAUGAUCAAGUGUGGAUUAAGUUGUCGGACGGCAACGCAUUUUCAUUGUUGCUAUUGUACAGCAACAAUUAUAAAUCGAUUGCAAUUUACAAAGCACUUACUAAUACACCAGGGGAAGGGGCAUGCUGCAGCCCCCGCACGGCACUCUGUGGCCCCUGUGCAGCAGUCUGUGGCCCCCGCUCAUCACCCAUUGGUCCCCGCUCAGUACCAAGAGGCCGCCGCUCAUCACCCAUUGGCCCCCCCCGCUCAGCACCCAUUGGCCCCCACUCAGCACCCAGAGGCCCCGGCUCAGCACCCAGAGGCCCCCACUCAGCACCCAGAGGCCCCCACUCAUCACCCAGAGGCCCCCACUCAUCACACACAGGCCCCACUCAUCACCCAGAGGCCCCCACUCAUCACCCAGAGGCCCCCACUCAUCACCCAGAGGCCCCCACUCAUCACACACAGGCCCCCACUCAUCACACAGAGGCCCCACUCAUCACACAGAGGCCCCCACUCAUCACACAGAGGCCCCCACUCAGCACCCAUUGGCCCCAACUCAUCACCCAGAGGCCCCACUCAGCACCCAUUGGCCCCAACUCAUCACCCAGAGGCCCCCACUCAUCACCCAGAGGCCCCCACUCAUCACCCAGAGGCCCCCACUCAUCACCCAGAGGCCCCCACUCAUCACCCAGAGGCCCCCACUCAUCACCCAGAGGGCCCCACUCAUCACACACAGGCCCCCACUCAUCACACACAGGCCCCCACUCAUCACACACAGGCUCCUGCAGAGUGUUCCGAGGCCACUAAAGCAUCUAGUAAACAAAAUAAACUCUGUUGUCCUCAUUGCAAGAUGAUUUUAAGCAAAAAAAACUUCAAAACACACUGCAGGAGAAAACACCCCCACCAAUUUGAGACGGACACUUGGCGUGAAUGAUGUCAAGGGUCUGAAGAUGACAGAUUUCUGGACAGAAAAAGGCGACAAGAGCAAGGAGGCCAACAGGAUUUGGAAGUGGUCCCUCCAAAACCAAUUCAGCUAUUCAAAGCUAUUUCUGAAGCAUCAGGUAUUCUUCAAAGCAGUAUUAUUGUACACACAUCCAUCAAGGUCGUAGAGGUGGUUUUGCAGUAAUUUCUCCAUUUAAAAUCAGCUAGUGAUCUUUUUUACAUCUUGCAUUGCUAUUGUGCCUAUAAGAACCACAAUCUGUUUCCUUUCUAGAGGAAGCUGAGUACUUGACAGAACUGGGAACAGGGUAUGUUUCUCCAACCUUUAAUAGGGCCUGAGCACCAUGAAAGGUAACAUAUUUGAUCAUACCACCAGGAGCGCGAAAUACCUUGAUACUUGCCAUUGUAAAACAAUUAUGGAAGCUUCAGGAAUGUACUUGACUAGGCAAUUACAUCUAUCUUUUUUCUCUUUACAGAUCAAACAUGUUCAAUGAUUCAAAGUCUGCUGUCACUGGUUUAUUUGACUAAGCUAAUAUAGUUGAUUGUACAAAAUAACAUGUCUAUGUAUAUAUUGUUUGUCACUCUCAGGUAAAUGCUAUGGUGUAUAUCUUUUUUAUCAUUAUAGGCAGCAUGAAUGAAAUAAUGCACAGUAAAAAAACAUUUGACAAGUUAAAGGUAGGGAUGUCUGUCUUUCAAAUGCAUGAACGCAAACCUAGUUGCACAGGUUUUGAGUUCAGUGAGAGCUGAACCUCAGUACAAAGUUGUAUGUGAGGUGAAAAUGUAAAUGUAUUACCAUUAUUUUUAUUCACAAGAUGAGAC